CGGAGCCUUCUGGAUUCAUUUGCGCCUCCCCUCCCUCUUACCACUUCGUUCCAGCUUCUCAUCCUGAGCUACAGACAUUUUAAAUCUAGAUCGGAAGAGCAAGGCGUUAACCAAGGCCAAAUGGUUGAGCCAACAAUUCAUCCCUUCAGCAAGCGUUUAUCGAGCACUUACUGUGUAGCAAGCCCUGUGCCAGGUCUUGGGCAGGAGGUGGAGAAGGCUUCCAUCUAUUUUCAGCAGGUGUUGGAAAACCAACAUAUAUUGAUAGCCACCGGCUCAAGGCAAUUUAGUAAAGUCCGACCUUGCACUUUUGAGGCAGGCAGCAGAACCACUGAGCUAAAUCCCCGGUCCAGUAAUCCUGUGUUGAUGAAGAUCUUCUGUUGAUGAGAACCAGGAUGUCUUCAGCUGAUGUAAUCUUUCCCUUGAACUUCACAGUAUCACAGGACCAUUGAGGCCUCUACUUGUGACUGGAGACAAACGGAGUUAUGUUUUCACAUGCCAUAGCUGGCUCACAGGCAAGGUCCAUGAAGUAUGCUGCUGGGAUUUCAGUUGGGAUUGCAUUGAAUCUAUAUAGCAGUUUUGGAAGUAUGGCCAUUUUCACUAUGUUGAUCCUUCCUACCCAGGAGCAAGGCUGCAGGCUGCUGGGACCCAUGAACAUAAGGAGUGAGGAGGAGGCAAGGAGAGGCAACUUGAGAUGUGUUCCCAGAUCUCUGGAUCCAACAGCCUUGGCCUUGAGCCUAGUGUAGUGUGAGGAGUCCAGUCCUCUCUCAGUUCCUCCAGCCGCCCUGAGCCCUAAGUUUGAGUGCUUCUGCUUGCUGCCUUCCCAUCUACCAGCAAAAAGACAAUGUAGAGUGCCGGGGAUUUAGCUCAG
rnacentral:lncRNA from 1 species